UCCGGGCUCUCUGCUUCCUCGUGUCUCACCAAACAGCUCUUUCUCCUCCUUCCCCAGCCCGAGGGAUCGCAAUAGCUACACUGGCUACAGGGGCCUGGAGCAGGAGCCCUUCCUUCCGCGGGGUAGGUUCAUUCGUCACGUGUGCAACGCCACGGUCCUACAUGCAAACUCAUGUGGAGUGAUUUUUUUGUGUAGCUUAGUUGGCAUUUUUAUGUUCCGAGUUGAUGUGUUCGUUAUGUUCCGAGAGUUGACGUUGUCCAUUCCCAUCGCAGCCCGCUUUGCUGCCGCGUGUCCCGCCUGUGUCGGACGGCCACGCCGCGGGUGUCCGCGUGCCUGCGUGCGUGCCUGGGUCCGUUCGGUUGGGUUCUGCCUUUGCUUUCUGUCCUCGAGUGGAGUUUGUAUCGAGCAACCUUCUUUUGGCAUCUGACUCCUUAGGUUUGUACUUCCUCACCAAUGUAUACUUUACAUCAGUAGGCUAUGUAAAGUAUUUUUGUGCACUUGAUUUCAUUGGUUAAUAAUGGCAUUGAUGUGGGUGCUAGGAGUAGUUUGUUUCAGUCCAUACCAUUUUUUUUCUCUCUUAGAGUUUUUACGGUUUCAUGUAAGCAGUUAAUGUAAAUAUUGUGAGCAUUACAGGUCAUGCGGUGUUGUAACAUUUUAAGAAAUGUUGCACCUACUUUGCGAUUAAAAAACUGGUCACUCAUACUUGAAUUUUGCCCAUAGAGCCAUUUCUUUCUCUUUGCAUUAAAGCAUAAUAUACUUUUUUGAUGGAGGCCCAACCCUUCUUUCUACCUUAUUAUUUUUUGUUUAAUAAAUCUCUAUUUUUUCUAACAGAAGACUUAAAAAUGAAACUUUAAAAAAUAAUAAUAAUAAUAAUACUUUUUGCCUACUUUCUAAUUUAAGAGAGAAUUCCUAUAUUUAAACGGUGAAAAAACAAAAAACAAAAAAAAAAGAAAAAGAAAAAAAAAAAGUAAGAAUGCUCCAUUGUGGGAAGUGGAAGGAGGCUUUUGUCCGUCCGUGGCACAGUGGCACAGAAGCGCCCCGCGGCGCCGUGGCUCCAGCGAUGAGCUCCCACUAUUUAUUUAUUUAUUGCUCCUCCGCUGCGCGGUGCCGGCGCGGUCGGGGCGUCCCGAUGAGAGGAGAUAUUCCUCUCUGUGUUAUGGUGCGUUUUGUGAACACCAUAAAAAAAAAAGAAAAAGAAAAAGAAAAAGACAAUUAUUUUUCGUUUGUUUCGAUGGAUUUUCUUCGUAUUUUCACUUCUUGCAGAGAAUGUUUUGCUGGAAUCAGCUGCAAAAGUAAUAUUCACAGAGGGAAGAAACCGGUGAUACUUCCCACCUCUGCCGUCCCAGGUCUCAUACUCCCAGUCUAAGGAUUUCGGGGUUAGAAGGAACGUAACAUUUCCAGGGACUGUCUCCUCUCAUUGCAAAACGCCAAGCACGAUGGGACGCCCAGGCUUAAAUCGGGCCGUGGGCACCGCUCUCAAAUUUAAUAGCAACCAACAGUGAUAACGUUGAAUUAAAGGCACCGAAGCCGAGCGAGUUUGCAGCUCAGCCCACAAGCCUGGGUCCUGCCCUUAGUUUGACCCCGCAGGCGCGGGUAGCAUCUGCAGGUAAGUUGGGAGCUGGCGACUGCUGAGGCUUUAGCUGGUGGAACCCGGGCACGGAGCCACACCAGGACACGGCCUCCAGGCCCCUCACUGUGGUUUGUGGCAGUGCCAGCAGCAGCACCGGCAGCAAGCCCUCACGUUGCAGGAUGCCCCGAGAACCCAGUAAUGGAGUGCCUUCAGUUCAGCGCUGAUUUACAAAGCCCAAAACACGUAAACAGGUAACUUAGCUCCAAAUUCGCUGCAAGCUCAGUUCAAACCGAUGUCCAGAAAGCUCUGGGAGAACACUCAAGGCUUCCAAAAAGCCAACGGUGGGGCAGCCGCAAUGUGGCAGCCAGCAGCAGUGUGUGCUGGGGGCUGGGGCUGGGGGGGAAAGCAGAGAGCCAUCACGUACGUGCUCCAGGCUCAGAUGCAGAGGUCAGACCUGGAGCUGUGUGCUGCCACACUGUCAGUGCUGCUGCCACAUGUUGCCCAUGUGGUACCUGGAAAGUCCCACCAACCUCUGCUGCAGGCUUGAAAAUGAUCUGCAAAUGAAUUAACCACAGCGAACUGAAACGGCAGCACUUGCUAUUUACUGUGCAGUUGAGAGCUGAGCAGGGUAAGUCAGGCCUCCAGUUCCCUCCUCUCUCUCCUGGGUUUUGCUCUUUAUUUAUUUAUUAUUCAUAGUUAUUAUGAACACCUGAAAGAAGUUUUUGUUGCUGCUUUAAAAAAAUCAGAGAUUCCAUUUGACUGCAAGCAGCCCCCACAAAACACGGGCUGGAGAGAUUUCAUCUCUCACAUUUUUACCUGCUGUGAGAUAAGAAUUUGGCUGUAAUUGAAUGCUAUUGCAACAGGAGAUAAGGGCUAAGGAUUUAGAACAGAAAUUUAAAAAAAAUAAUACCCUAAAAAAAUAGAACAGUUCUUUCUGGAAAUUUCUAUUCCAGAAAAGAUACAGAAUCACAGAAUCGGAGAAUGGCUUAGGUUGGAAGAGACCUUAAAGAUCAUCCAGUUCCAUCCCCAUGGAGAACAGGAAGGGUUUCCCUCUCUAUACUGUGAGCACAGCUCAGCACAGUGGCACUGCACAGUGGGACCCCCCACUCCUUUAAGUACUGAAAGGGAGCCUAUAAACAGGAGGGGAGUCAGCUCUUUACAAGGGUAGAUAAUAGCAGGACGUGGGGAAAUGGUCUUAAGUUGAAGGAGGGAAGAUUUCAGUUGGAGAUCAGGGGGAAGUGCUUUACUGUGAGUGGUGAGGUGCUGGAACAGCUGCCCAGAGAGGCUGUGGAUGCCCCGUCCAUCCCUGGAGGUGUUCAAGGCCAGGUUGGAUGGGCCCUGGGCAGCCUGGGCUGGUAUGAAAUGUGGGGGUUGGUGGCCCUGCCUGUGGUGGGGGGGUUGGAGCUUCAUGAUCCUUGAGGUCCCUUCCAACCCAGGCCAUUCAGUGAUUCUAUGAUUCUCCUUCCUGCAGACAAAGCCCAAGGAAGCAGUAGUGCAGGUUGGCAGGAGCCAAAGCAAACAGCUGUGCAUCCUAAGAACAUGGAAGAAUAAAUGCUCCUCAUUCAAAAAAAAAAAAAAAAAAAAACCAUAACUUCUACACGUGUGAUUCCACCUCAUGCUUACUUAACAGUAAGUGAACACUCAGGCAGGUGUGUAAUCGAGUACAGAAAGAAGCAGCAGAACCUGGUACAACUGAGAGCCACCCCAGCAACUGAAGCCUUUUCAGAUGCUGCAGCCAAAGGAAGAGGUCUAGAAGAGAGGCAUCUCCUGUAAUCUGGUUUAAAAUAUAUAUAUAUUUAUUAUUAUUAUUAUUUUCAGUUCCAGGAAAAGAAUUUGUUGCUUCUCUCUGAUUUUUUUCCUGGGAUGCGAAAACAUCAUAAAAAUAACAAGAAGUAUUAGAGUUUGCCAUUACCUGUGACCAGUCCUGGAAGUUCCUCUCUGCUUCUGAGGGAAAAAAAGAGAACAUUUACCCCUGAAAAAUAAAUAAAAACAUUAUCCU
ensembl:lncRNA